CCUACGGGUGGCAGCAGUCGAGAAUCAUUCACAAUGGGGGAAACCCUGAUGGUGCGACGCCGCGUGGGGGAAUGAAGGUCUUCGGAUUGUAAACCCCUGUCAUGUGGGAGCAAAUUAAAAAGAUAGUACCACAAGAGGAAGAGACGGCUAACUCUGUGCCAGCAGCCGCGGUAAUACAGAGGUCUCAAGCGUUGUUCGGAAUCACUGGGCGUAAAGCGUGCGUAGGCUGUUUCGUAAGUCGUGUGUGAAAGGCGCGGGCUAAACCCGCGGACGGCAAAUGAGACUGCGAGACUAGAGUAAGGGAGGGGGAACCGGAAUUCUCGGUGUAGCAGUGAAAUGCGUAGAUAUCGAGAGGAACACUCGUGGCGAAGGCGGGUUCCUGGACAUUAACUGACGCUGAGGCACGAAGGCCAGGGGAGCGAAAGGGAUUAGAUACCCGUGUAGUC
rnacentral:rRNA from 1 species